rnacentral:tRNA from 1 species
GCUUUCGUUGUGUAGUGGUCAGCACGCUCGAUGCGUAUUCAAGAGGUCUGCGGUUCGAGUCCCUGUGAGGGCA